AGAGUUUGAUCAUGGCUCAGAACGAACGCUGGCGGCGGGCCUAACACAUGCAAGUCGCACGAGAACGUCCGGGCUUGCUCGGGCUAGUAAAGUGGCGCACGGGUGAGUAGCGCGUGGGUAAUCUACCCUUGGGCAGGGAAUAACGUUCCGAAAGGAGCGCUAAUACCGUAUACGACCACAUUUUUUGCGGAGAGUGUGGUGAAAGCGGGCCUCUCUAUAGAAGCUCGCACCCAAGGUCGAGCCCGCGUCCCAUUAGCUUGUUGGUGAGGUAACGGCUCACCAAGGCCGCGAUGGGUAGCUGAUCUGAGAGGAUGAUCAGCCACACUGGGACUGGAACACGGCCCAGACUCCUACGGGAGGCAGCAGUGAGGAAUCUUGCGCAAUGGGGGAAACCCUGACGCAGCCACGCCGCGUGGGUGAAGAAGGCCUUCGGGUCGUAAAGCCCUGUCAGGUGGGAAGAACCGCAAUGAAGUGAAUAAUUUCUUUGCUUGACGGUACCACCAAAGGAAGCACCGGCUAACUCCGUGCCAGCAGCCGCGGUAAUACGGAGGGUGCAAGCGUUGUUCGGAAUUACUGGGCGUAAAGAGCGUGUAGGCGGCUAUGUAAGUCACAUGUGAAAGCCCUCGGCUCAACUGAGGAAGUGCAUGUGAUACUGCGUAGCUUGAGUCCCGGAGAGGGGUGUGGAAUUCCCGGUGUAGAGGUGAAAUUCGUAGAUAUCGGGAGGAACACCAGUGGCGAAGGCGACACUCUGGACGGUGACUGACGCUGAGACGCGAAAGCGUGGGUAGCAAACAGGAUUAGAUACCCUAGUAGUCC
rnacentral:rRNA from 1 species